ensembl:lncRNA
ACUUGACCUUAUCCUGUGAUAAUUCUCUUGUGUUUAAUGGUUUCCCUUUCACAUUAUCCCGAAUGAGACGUAUUUGUUGUGUAAAUGGUACUAUGACAACUGUUCCUAACAGACUUUUGCCUGUUGAGGUAGCAUGAACAGGAUAUACCUUCUCCAUUCCUAUUGUCUGCACUUGGUUCCCACAAAAUGUGCCAGCCUUUUCUAAGCCCACAGGUCCCCCUAGAUGAACUGGAACAUUUACCUUUGCCACAGAUAGCCUCUCUGUGAAUGAUGGAUUCUGACAUCACCCUCACACUGGUUGAAUCACAUGGCUGGGAAGAUGUUUGGCACCAGGACACUCACCAGACACACCAACCUCAUCAUCUGCGGAGGUUUUGCUUCCUUUACAAUUAGACAAGCCACUUGUUCUAAUGCUCUGAAAUUUUUUUGCAUUAUUGACACUGUUUUCCUAAUUAAUGUUGUUCAGUUGCUUUGACGCAAUCUUUUUUGUUUAAAGCGCUAUAUAAAUAAAGGUGACUUGACUUGACUCUGAAAUGAAAAUAUUCUUUAGUCUUUACCAGUGAGCAAAAAUGGAUGAUUCUUACAUUGUGGCCUCUGUUUGCACCAUACAACAUAUUUCAGACAAACUUUGACUUGAUGGCAUAGUAAAAAUCUUUCUCUCUCUCUCUCUCUCUCUCUCUCUCUCUCUCUCUCGAAUCAUGGAUCAGAUACUAGCCCCAUGUCUAUCCUGUUGCUCUCUGCAAAAGGAUAUCAGAUCAAUAAUGUAUGGCCAGUGUGGCACUGCCUCUUUGGAUGGGCAGGAAGGCCGGAACAAGCCGGACCAUCCCCAAGGCCUCUGAAACUUUUGGUCUUGUUAAAAGACGCUUAGCUAAGAAUUAUGUGCCAAGUGAAAAGGGGGUGUUUGUGCUGCUUGCUUCCCCCCAGUACAUUCACUUGAACAAUCUGCUUUCAGGGGGGAUCCAGAUCGGAACCAAAGAUUGGUGGACCAGUGUGACUAUUGGGGAUCGUGGGGUGAUUGGGGGGGAUGUAAUGAGUCCCUGUCCACAUAAAGACAUGAUUAUUCUCUCUCUUGGCAAGGGCAGCUGAUGGCAGGACUGGUCAGACACUGGACUCAGUAUUCUUCAGUCUUAUUAGACGAGGUCCUCUCCCCUCCUGGUCACAGCGUCGAGCUUGUUUGUUUUUUUGGGGAGCACUGUGGGAAAGUCAUUAAAGUGUAAAGCACCCCCUUUAUUUCAUUCUGAGGGAAAAGAAAGAGCGAGAUGAUGAGAUCCUGCGCUGUUUUCCAACAAUAUGGCAUCCAUUCAAUCCAUCUCUACUGGGAAGAAUGCAUACACUGCAUUGUUUGAUCUGUGCUCCUCGUCCGCUCUCAAAGACCAGCUUUCACUGAUAUUUCAUUACAGCGCUGCUUCCUUCCAACAGAGCCCAUCAAAUCAUCAUUUAUUUAAGUGGCUGCUCUACACACCUGUUGCAUAACCCAUCUUUAUGAUCUAAUGGAGGCUAUUAAAAGCUUGUCACCAGCUAUUUAGCCCCUUUACUGCUCAGCAAUUGAGAACAAAGUGCUUUUCAAGUGUCAAGCAGGUGAAUUCAGGAACUUUGGCCCUCUUGUGCAAAGAAAGACAUCCCAUCAGCAGUGGAGGUUAAACAGGGAUUGGACAAAAUUGCUUCAGAGGUGUUGAAGAAAAGAAUCAGCUUCUCACUCUUCUCUCCAAAACUGUGCAGACUGGUUUCAUAAUAUAGAAAGGUGUCAUUAAAUGCAUUUUAAAAAAUAUUUUAUAAUGUUUCCUGAGGUAAGGGUUUUUACAUUAGUGUUUUUUUUUUAUCAAAAAUUGUCAUAAUUAACAUAUAAAUGGUCAUUUUCUACCCUGAUUUUAGCUCUCUGAUUUGAAUGGUCAGUUGGAAGGUUCGUGUGUGCUGUGAUUGGCUAGAAUCUUUGAAUAUGAAAUUAGCAUUACAUGUGAUAAGGAAUACUAUGAAUCAUGAUGAUCAUGAAAUGCAUUUUCAGAUUUUUAUACGUAACUUGGGGUUAGUUAACAAAGUAACAGUAGUAUCAGUUUUGUGAUUGGUGGACAGACAUGAGAUUAAACCUCCUUGAUCACAUAUGACAAUGACGCAUGUUAAGGGACAUGUCAAGCCUGCUAUUCUUCUUCGCUGAUAAAGUCUUGCCAUGCUUUGUGUGCACAGUCAUAAACGUAAAGACUGUAGUUCUUAUAACACCAAACAAUUGGGCCUUUAAGGUUACAGACCUUGUAUUAAACACUGCUGAACCCAACUGGUACUAAACUGAUUUACAACAUAGGGAGUAUAGAUAAUGUUAAGAUGAAUUAAAGAUAAUGACAACAUCUGUUUGUUCACUGUAGGCUAUACACAAAUCAAGUUAUGCAUCGAUUCACAUAAUAUUAUCAUCUAAAUGUAUUUGGAUUUGAUUGCUGAUCCAGAUGAUUGCACAUUUCAGUCUAAAUAUUCUGGCAAAAAAGGGCAUUUAUGAGAAGAGAAUGGGCAUCUUUUUCAAAAUACAGCUGUGAACCAGUUUGAUGCAGUUUGAUUCUUAGAUUUGUAUGCAUCACAUCAUAUCCGCGCUGUGGUGGAGGCCUCUGCUGGUGAGCAGUAGUAAUGCAACUUGUUUACCAUCCCAUCCAAUUCAAGAGACUGCCAAAGCUCUCCUAGUGAAUGAAGUGCCAGUGCACCACUUUUGUUGAGCUAAAUAUUAAGCUAAAUGAUCGAUAAUUCAAACCAUGCUGUCAUCCUGUUUCCAUAAAAAAUUUGGAACCGUUCUCUAAGUUAAUAUUGGAUCAAUGAACUAAGUACAAAUAAACAUGUUCUGAAAAUGUGGACUUAACUUUUA